AACGAACGCUGGCGGCAUGCCUAACACAUGCAAGUCGAACGAGACCUUCGGGUCUAGUGGCGCACGGGUGCGUAACGCGUGGGAACCUGCCUUUAGGUUCGGAAUAACUCAGAGAAAUUUGAGCUAAUACCGGAUAAUGUCUUCGGACCAAAGAUUUAUCGCCUUUAGAUGGGCCCGCGUUGGAUUAGCUAGUUGGUGGGGUAAAGGCCUACCAAGGCGACGAUCCAUAGCUGGUCUGAGAGGAUGAUCAGCCACACUGGGACUGAGACACGGCCCAGACUCCUACGGGAGGCAGCAGUGGGGAAUAUUGGACAAUGGGCGAAAGCCUGAUCCAGCAAUGCCGNGUGAGUGAUGAAGGCCUUAGGUUGUAAAGACUCUUUUACCCGAGAAUGAUAAAUGACAGUAUC
rnacentral:rRNA from 1 species